rnacentral:tRNA from 1 species
CGGGAUGUGGCGCAGCCCGGUUAGCGCACACGCCUGGGGGGCGUGGGGUCGCAGGUUCAAAUCCUGUCAUCCCGACUA